CACGUAGGCGGCCUGGUAAGUCAGAUGUGAAAGCCCGGGGCUUAACCCCGGAAGUGCAUUUGAUACUGUCAGGCUUGAGUAUGGGAGAGGGAAGUGGAAUUCCUGGUGUAGAGGUGAAAUUCGUAGAUAUCAGGAGGAACACCGGUGGCGAAGGCGACUUCCUGGACCAAUACUGACGCUGAUGUGCGAAGGCGUGGGUAGCAAACA
rnacentral:rRNA from 1 species